AGCAGUCGCCACGGUAAUACGUAGGUCCCGAGCGUUGUCCGGAUUUAUUGGGCGUAAAGCGAGCGCAGGCGGUUAGAUAAGUCUGAAGUUAAAGGCUGUGGCUUAACCAUAGUACGCUUUGGAAACUGUUUAACUUGAGUGCAAGAGGGGGGAGUGGAAUUCCAUGUGUAGCGGUGAAAUGCGUAGAUAUAUGGAGGAACACCGGUGGCGAAAGCGGCUCUCUGGUCUGUAACUGACGCUGAGGCUCGAAAGCGUGGGGAGCAAACAGGAUUAGAUACCCGAGUAGUCCCUGUCUCUUAUACA
rnacentral:rRNA from 1 species